CUCAGUUAAAAUGUGAUAAAAACAGUAUAACAUCCUCAAUCAAAAUCUUAUAAAAAAAGUUUGAACAAAAUAUGAUAAAAAUAUGUCCUGUUAAAAUUUAAAAAAUAAAGGUAACACUAGUAUACUGCUAUUCGAAAGUCAUAAAUCAAUUGAGAGAAAACAAAUCUGGGGAAACACAUCAACUAUAUAAGAGGAAAACAACGAAAUAACAGAAACACUGAAGUGCAACAAAAAACCAAACGACAGUGCAACACACACAGAAACAAACUAUAAGAUAACAACUACCAUUUUCCUGAUUUGGUACAGGACUUUUUAAGAAAAAAAUAGUGGUCUGAACCUGCAUGGUUUUGUAGCUAGACAAGCCUCGCGCUUUUACGGUAAUGUUAGAUAUAACACUAAAAUGACAACAAUACAUCGCAGGAAUAGAGUGCAAAUAAAUGAGAGAAUCAACCGGACAGAGAAUUACACAAAUUAACAAUACAAUAGUAUAUUUUGACAUGCUAACCACAGCAUAAAAACGAACACGUAAAACAUACUAGGACAGCACACAAAUACAGAACCACACAAACACAGUAUAAAAUCGCCUGUUAAAAUUUGCUUAAGAUAUAAAACAUCUCCUAUUAGAAUUUGAUAAAAAUAGUAAACAUCCUCUGUUGAACCGUGACAAAAGCAGUAAAUCACCACCUAUUAAAAAUUUGAUAAAAACAAUAAAACAUCCCCGGUUAAAAUUUGAUUAAAACAUUAAAACGUUAACACAUUAAAACAUCCCCUUUUAAAAUAAGAUAAACAUAGUACAACAUUCCCAGUCAAAACAUAUUAUAAACAGUAAAACAUUCUCCAUUAAAAUUUGAUAAAAACAGUAUAAAGAUCCCCGUUAAAAUGUAAUAAAAACAGUAAAAUAAUUCGUUAAAAUCCACAAAAAAACAGGAUAAAGAUCCCCCGUUAAAAUUUGAUAAAGGCAGUAAAAGAAUGAGUUAAAAUUUGAAAAGAAACAAUAAAAAAAUCCCUAGUUAAAAUGUGCUUAACACAGUAAAACAUCCCCCUAUAAAAAUUUGAUAAAAAAAAGUAAAACAUCCAACGUUUAAAAAUGAAAAAAAAAAAAAAAAAAAACAACAACAACAACAACGACAAAAGAACCCCCCCCCCCCCCCCCAAAAAAAAAAAUAAAGAGAAUAACAACAUCCCCCGUUAACAUUUGACAAAAAUUGUAAUAUUCCACAUUUGAUUUGAUAAAACAGUUAAACAUCCCCCGUUGAAAAAUGUGUUAAAACACUAAAACAGUCCCUAUUAAUGUUAAACAAAUACAGUAAAACAUCCCCAAUUUAAAUUUGAUCAACACAAUGAAAAGUCCCUGUUAAAAUUUUACCAAAAAGUAAGACACCCCCGAUACAAAUUUGAUAAAUAAAAGUUAAAAGUAAAAUCACAAAAAUACUAAACUCCGAGAAAAUUCACAAAAAAAGGCCUUAAUCAAAUGACAAUAAUAAUAAUAACCCCAAUAAAAGAUUUUUUAAACAAAUAGAUAUCCCCCGUUAAAGUUGGAUAAGACCGUUAAACAUCCCCUGUCAACAUUUUGUAAAACAAAAGUAAAACUUCUCCCUGUUAAACUCUGAUUAAACUCAUCGAUCGAAAAUAGGCCGACAACGCCAUGACCAAAAAGGUUGCAACAUCAUAUUGAAGAACCCCAAUAUUUCCUUAUGAAUAUUGGAAAACGUACAACACUAUUUGCACCAAAAAUAAAACAAAUGUUUUGAAUAAUUGAUGAAAAAAUAUAAAGUGUUGUGAAUUGCAAAAAUAUACUUAUAGGCAGGAAAGAUUCAGACAUAUUUGUUUUGCCUUAAGCUUGCUCCACC
rnacentral:lncRNA from 1 species